GCCCUGGUAGCUCAGUGGAUAGAGCAACCCCCUCCUACGGGGUAGGUCGGACGUUCGAUUCGUCUUCAGGGUG
rnacentral:tRNA from 1 species